UACGGGGGGAGCAAGCGUUGUUCGGAUUUACUGGGCGUAAAGGGCGCGUAGGCGGCCACCGCAAGUCGAUUGUGAAAUCUCCGGGCUUAACCCGGAAAGGUCAACCGAUACUGCGGGGCUAGAGUGCAGAAGGGGCAACUGGAAUUCUCGGUGUAGCGGUGAAAUGCGUAGAUAUGACAUAGAACACCAAUUGCGAAGGCAGCUCGCUACACAUAUAUUGACUCUGAGGCACGAAAGCGUGGGGAUCAAACAGG
rnacentral:rRNA from 1 species